UCCUUUCUCACAAAAUUCUCAAUCGUCGUCGCGAACGGACGUGAAUUUUCGCGUUGCCGUCGUCGUCGUGAUCCCGUUUUUUUUGUUCGCCGACUGCUUUGCUUUUUUUUUUUCAAGAUCAAAUUCUCGUUUCCGGAUCAUCGCUGUGAAGGUUGAAGGUGAUUUUGGCGUGAGAUACUUUUUUUUUUUUGGUUUGAGAAGGAAGUGAAGGGAUUUGAGGAGAAAUUUGGCUUUUCGUGUGUGAAUAAAGUUCAAAAAAGGUCAACGCGCUCUGCAUUGUUGGCCGUGGGAGGAGAAAAGUGAAUGCUGGCAGAAGCAAAUUUAGACUCGCGCCGCCAUCUUUGAUUGACCGUGGAUUUGUGGUGCGGUUUUGUUAAGAAACGUUUGAAAGCGUCGUAAAUAUGAUGAAUCCGGUCAGCAAGAUUCACUUCAACAGUUCGACCGGCGUGUCGCUGAACGACCGGUUCACGAUCAUGUCCAAGGUGAGCCCGCCGGAGAAAGGGGGCGGCGGCGGUUCGUCGGGGCGUUCCUCCGGGAGUGGCGGCUCAUCCGGCGGACUCCGGAAGCGCUCCAACUCGGUCGAUUCGAUUCCGUCGCGCGGUUCGCUUGCGAACCGGGCCUUUGUCAGUCAGCUGGACCGGCGCCACCUGGGACAGCAGCGAUCGGCGCUUCAGUUGCGAAAUAGAAAUAUCAGAUCUGGCCGUCAGCGACUCAAUCGCAGCAACAUAAGUUCCCGCGUACAGCUGCGCCGUGCGGCCGGCAACACACUCACGCUGGCCGGAGGUUCCCGGCGAAUGCAGCGGUCCAACAGUUUGUCGGAUAUUGCUACAAUGAACGCCGACUAUUACGAGCGCAAGUCGCCACUCAAGCGCUCCAACUCGCAGGCCAGCCUUGCGGCCCGGUUGGGCAACCCCAACGGGCGUAGCCGGUCCCGCGUCCGAGGUCGCUCGCAGCAGCGCAAUCAGUCCCGUUCGCGGGGUCGUUCCCGGUCCAACUCGGGCGCCCGCGGUGGUGGUCCCGGAGGACGAGUCUCCCGGUCGCGCUCCCGUGGCGGCAAUCCCGCGGCCAACGGUCGCGCCAGAUCUCGCAGUGCUGCCAACGGAAGAAACGCCGGCUUCGAAGGUCGCGUCGGGCGGGGCGGCGGCCGUGGAGGACGUGGCCCGAUGCUGCAGCGUCGCAACAGCACGAUGAAGGCACGAUCCGCGUCGCGCUCGGCCUCGGUCAAUGGCCGGUUGGGCGGCAACCGUACCGCGCGUCCCAUGUCCGGUGGCGGAUUCCGCGGAGGACGCAUUGGCAAACGGGGACUGCGACGGGGAGGCGGAGGAGCAGGCGCCGUUGGACGGAACGGAAACGCCGGCGGAAGACCGGGACGCACCCUGCAGAGACGUGGACGCGGGGGGUUCCGAGGUGGAAGAGCUGCGGCGGCGGCGGCGGCGGAGGCAGCCGGCGGAAAUCGCCGCGGUCGGUCCCGGUCGCGUGGUCGGGCCGCGUCCCAGACGCGGGGCCGAAGCGCGCAACGUGGACGUAAUGCAUCCCGAGGACGCUUCCCGGCCGUGCCGCCCAAGAGCAAGGAGCAGCUGGACAAGGAACUGGACACGUACAUGGCCAACACGAAGAGCUCGCUGGACAAGGAGAUGGACGAGUACAUGAACGGGAUUCACAGCAGCACGAUUUGAGCUACAGAGAGGAAAAUUGCUGAAAGAAAGCUAAACAAAACGUGUAAAUCGUUAUCAAACAAAAAAUAUAUAGUGAAUCUGAUUAACAGACACGUUACAAAACUGAAUUUUUAAAGAUAUCUUUAAUAACUUAUCAACAGAAGUCGUGAAUUUGAUAAAACAAAACUGUACAUAUGAUUUAGAAGCCGAAGAAAACGAGAGAAAAGGAAAUAAACAUAGUUUUCUUAUGACUGAACUGAUAAAAUGA
rnacentral:misc_RNA from 1 species